UGCAAGUCGAGCGCAGGAAUAAACAGGAUCCCUUCGGGGUAGAUGUUUAUGGAAUGAGCGGCGGACGGGUGAGUAACACGUGGGCAACCUGCCUGUAAGAUCGGGAUAACUCGCGGAAACGUGAGCUAAUACCGGAUAACACUUUUCAUCUCAUGGUGAGAAGAUAAAAGACGGUUUCGGCUGUCACUUACAGAUGGGCCCGCGGCGCAUUAGCUAGUUGGUGAGGUAACGGCUCACCAAGGCGACGAUGCGUAGCCGACCUGAGAGGGUGAUCGGCCACACUGGGACUGAGACACGGCCCAGACUCCUACGGGAGGCAGCAGUAGGGAAUCUUCCGCAAUGGACGAAAGUCUGACGGAGCAACGCCGCGUGAGUGAUGAAGGUUUUCGGAUCGUAAAACUCUGUUGUUAGGGAAGAACAAGUUGGGUAGUAACUGACCCAACCUUGACGGUACCUAACCAGAAAGCCACGGCUAACUACGUGCCAGCAGCCGCGGUAAUACGUAGGUGGCAAGCGUUGUCCGGAAUUAUUGGGCGUAAAGCGCUCGCAGGCGGUCUUUUAAGUCUGAUGUGAAAGCCCACGGCUUAACCGUGGAGGGUCAUUGGAAACUGGAGGACUUGAGUACAGAAGAGGAGAGUGGAAUUCCACGUGUAGCGGUGAAAUGCGUAGAGAUGUGGAGGAACACCAGUGGCGAAGGCGACUCUCUGGUCUGUAACUGACGCUGAGGAGCGAAAGCGUGGGUAGCGAACAGGAUUAGAUACCCUGGUAGUCCACGCCGUAAACGAUGAGUGCUAGGUGUUAGGGGGUUUCCGCCCCUUAGUGCUGAAGUUAACGCAUUAAGCACUCCGCCUGGGGAGUACGGCCGCAAGGCUGAAACUCAAAAGAAUUGACGGGGGCCCGCACAAGCGGUGGAGCAUGUGGUUUAAUUCGAAGCAACGCGAAGAACCUUACCAGGUCUUGACAUCCUCUGAUACCUCUAG
rnacentral:rRNA from 1 species